GAUGAACGCUGGCGGCGUGCCUAAUACAUGCAAGUCGAGCGAACGGACGAGAAGCUUGCUUCUCUGAUGUUAGCGGCGGACGGGUGAGUAACACGUGGAUAACCUACCUAUAAGACUGGGAUAACUUCGGGAAACCGGAGCUAAUACCGGAUAAUAUUUUGAACCGCAUGGUUCAAAAGUGAAAGACGGUCUUGCUGUCACUUAUAGAUGGAUCCGCGCUGCAUUAGCUAGUUGGUAAGGUAACGGCUUACCAAGGCAACGAUGCAUAGCCGACCUGAGAGGGUGAUCGGCCACACGGGAACUGAGACACGGUCCAGACUCCUACGGGAGGCAGCAGUAGGGAAUCUUCCGCAAUGGGCGAAAGCCUGACGGAGCAACGCCGCGUGAGUGAUGAAGGUCUUCGGUUCGUAAAACUCUGUUAUUAGGGAAGAACAUAUGUGUAAGUAACUGUGCACAUCUUGACGGUACCUAAUCAGAAAGCCACGGCUAACUACGUG
rnacentral:rRNA from 1 species